AUCAGGUGGAGGUGGUGUUAGAUGAUGGUGGUGUUGUACUCCUGAGCCUUCACCAUCUGUAAACAGUGAAGUAGGAGUGUGAACAGGUGAAACAACAGGUGUCUCACCUGAUCUGUAGACUGACAGCGACUGCAGCCAAACACGGUGAGAUUGAGAUGCAGAGCCUGAGGACGGAGAAACAACCCAAAACACCUGAAACUCCUCUGCUGCGAAUCUGAAGCAAGGAACAAAACAGGAAGUCAGCUGAUGAAGAAACGGUUCAGAUGGGCAACUUGUAAUCAGCCACUUCCUCCAGCAACCAACCUGAAGGGUCAGUACUCUGACCUCGUGCUCACCCUCAGCCACCUCCGGUCUGAAAUCCCAAGUUACUGACGGAACCAUCCUGAUGGAGUCCAUGUUUGAUGUGUUGGA